CCCAAAAAAAAAAAAAAAAAAAAAAAAAAAAAAAAGAAACUAAAUUAAUUAAAUUAAUUAAAUUAUAUAUAUAAUAAUUAAUUAAAACAAAAAAAAAAAAAAAACAAAAAAAAUAUAAAAAGAAAAGGGGGAGGCGCUCGGCAGCCCCCCCCCCAAAUCAGAAAAUCUCUCUCUCUCUCUCUCUUUUAUUUAUUUUCUCUUGAUUUCCUCUCGGAUUAUCUUCGAUUCCAAGCGAUCCGGCCGUUCGAUCGUUGAUCCGACUUCGCUUUCACCGUUAAAGUGCCCCCGAUCUACAAGGAGCCUAUAAGUGGGUGUGUAGUUCCACUAUACACUUACGCGUAGCAAGCAAAGCGAGACAUGAUGACGUAGUCGAUGGCUUAGCUCGACGAAUUCCAUGACGCCAGAUUUGAAUAUUGCGCGGGCCAAGGCUCAGAUUCUCAGGAUUUUGUUCGAUCUUCUCCCCAGACUCGGACUUGAGUCAUCAUUUCCCAGGGAAUUCUCCUUUUGAUUAUUGGUCCAGCAGAUCUUCUGGGAUGAUACCUACUCGUUCUCGGACAGCAUCCAGGCAGACAGAUUCUUUAGGGGGUGAUCAGGCUCCUCAGCCCUCACCUACCAGCGGUUACACGGUCAGAGGCCGUGGACGAGGUCGUGGCGAACGACGUGGCCGAGGCCGAGGCCGAGGUAGAGGCCGGGGCCGUGGUUCGGGUCGCAGUGGAGUUGACUUUGAUGGUAGUACUCCGACGAGAGAUAGGGACCAGCUGAUUAUUGACUCCUUGGCAAACAUCACGGUGCUGUUGACAAAUAUAGUUAAUUCUCAGAGACAGCCAGAGGCGCCAGGGGGUGUGAGCCCUGAUACUAGGGUUGGUGGCGGCACUGGAGAUGGCACCGAGGAUGGCACUAGAGGUGGCACUAGUGGCGGCACUGGCGACGGUGCUGUGGCUGGUGGCGCCAGGGGCGCCGUUAGCGGUGGCGCUGCAGGUGUUGCCGUCGGCACUGGUGAUGCAGGCGAGACUAGGGGACAGCCUCCAGUGGACCUUCCAGUGGACCCUGAGGCCGUUGGGAUAGAUUAUGAGUUUGAGCGGUUUAUGGGUCUGAAGCCGCCCCAGUUCAGAGGUGCGAGAGAUAAGGCUGAAGAGUUUUUGGAUCAGUUGGACAAACUGAAGAGAGGUUCUCGCAUACAUGGCUACCGGAUGGUGGAGCUCACCUCUUUUUGUCUUCAUGGUGAGGCGAGCGUGUGGUAUGAUGUAUUGAGGAGACGACGGGGUGAUGCCCCGUUAGGGUGGGCUGAGUUCAAGAGACUAUUUUUGGCAAAAUAUGUCUCUAGCACUAUGAGAUUCCAGAGGGCCCAGCAGUUUGAGGCCCUAAGACAGACCCCAGAUAUGAGCGUUGAGCGUUAUGAUGCGUUAUUCACUGAGCUCUCACAGUUUGCACCUGCUUUGGUUCCUACGGAGCAGGACAGGAUUACACGCUUUAUAUCUCGAUUGAUCGAGCCGUGGUUCAGGAGUUUGCACGCCACUCGUUUUGGCACGUAUGAGGAGGCAGUUGAUAGUGCCUUAGCCCUUGAGGCACGAGCAGCAGAGGAGAGGGCAGCUAGAGACUUGAAGAGGGUUAGAGGCGACGCUGGUACUUCCUUCUCUUCUGGGAAGAAGGGGAAGGGCACGACGAGUUUACAGCCGUUGGCAGUAGCGCCACCAUUUCCUUCAUUGCCUGCGCCCCCUUCCCAGAGACAGCAGCAGCAGCAGCGGCAGUGGCAGCAGAGACAGGAAGAGAGGCCCCUAUGUCCGACAUGUAAGAAGAGACACUCAGGGGUGUGCAGGUAUGCGAAGGCCCCGAUUACAUGCUUUAGGUGUGGACAGUCAGGUCACAUCCAGAGGGAUUGUUCACAGCUAGGGCGAGGCCCUCCAGGACGACAGGCUCCAGCUCAGCAGCCGACAUCUAGAGCUCAGAGCAGCGCUCCCCAGCCUCGAGGGGGACAUGGCCCACAGGGUCAGCCGAGGGUCUAUCAUAUGACUACUCAGGAUGCCCAGGCAUCCAAUCAGGUGGUGACAGCCUAUAAGUGGGUGUGUAGUUCCACUAUACACUUACGCGUAGCAAGCAAAGCGAGACAUGAUGACGUAGUCGAUGGCUUAGCUCGACGAAUUCCAUGACGCCAGAUUUGAAUAUUGCGCGGGCCAAGGCUCAGAUUCUCAGGAUUUUGUUCGAUCUUCUCCCCAGACUCGGACUUGAGUCAUCAUUUCCCAGGGAAUUCUCCUUUUGAUUAUUGGUCCAGCAGAUCUUCUGGUAUGAUGUCAUACCCUCUUUUGAUUUCGGAUGUAUUAUAGGAUGCUCUGUGGAGACAUACCCAUGUUGUAGAGUCUGAUGUUUUGUCUUUAUUUUUGUUGGCACAUAAUUGUGCCAAGGGCCCGAGAUACGGGAUCGGAUAUGUAUUAUUGACAGCAGUGUGAUAGAUAUUCUUAUUUUGUACAGCUGCUGUAUAUGAAAUAUUGAGAUAUUAUGUUAGAAGGUGAAUUGGUAUUUUAUUCA